AUACAACGAUAAUAAAUCAUGAACUUGUUAGUUUUGACUUUACCAUUUGACGCUACCAUUCUCCUCGGCUCCGGUGAACGGUUUGGAACAGAGUCAGAGGGUGAAUGGACGCAGAGAGGAUGGAGAGGAAACAGAGAGGGUAGAGAGGAAGCAGAGAGGAUGGAGAGGAUGCAGAGAGGUUGAAGAGGAAGCAGAGAAGGUGGAGAGGAAGCAGGGAGGGUGGAGAGGAAGCAGAGAGGAUGGAGAGGAAGCAGAGAGGGUGGAGAGGAAGCAGAGAGAGUGAGAGGAAGCAGAGAGGAUGGAGAGGAAGCAGAGAGGUGGAGAGGAAGGAGAGAGGGUGGAGAGGAAGCAGAGAGAGUGGAGAGGAAGGAGAGAGGUUGGAGAGAAGCAGAGAGGAUGUAGAGGAAAAGGCCAGGUGGAGCAGAAAGGGAAAGAGCACUCAAAAAGAAAGCCCUCUAAAAAGAAGCCGCGAAAAUGUAACAAAAUUACCGACCAGUUCAGGGCUUCAAAUGUAGGUCAGACUCAUCUGUAAAUACUGUAGCUUUGUGUUCGCUAACUUAGCUAAUCAAUUAUUAACCACAGUUUCACUACUAGCAAACGUUAGCACUAUUAUCAUCACUCAAAAUACACUAAAGGACAACAUUAUCUACUGUAUAGAUAUAAUAAUGUCUAAUUUUGCAGACAAAUGUCCAAAUUUAUGUACAGUACAUUAAGUGAGAGCUCCAUGUUGGUAUUUUUAAAUGUUGAAAUUACAAAUACAGCUAGGGCAAACAACAACAAACACUUUUCCAAGCUGUGAGUCAUAAAAGGUAAUAUCAUGUUCAAUAUUAGGAUUUUUCUAAAUAGAUAGUCAUGAUGUAGUUAGUAUUGUACUAACAGAUAUU
ensembl:lncRNA